AGGAUCGAAACCUCGUCUCGCUAAGCGAGAUGGCGCAGCGGAAGCGUGAUGGGCUCAUAACCCAUAGGUCCG